AUACCGGGCCUUUUUGGGCUUGGUAAUUGGAAUGGGGGAGAGUUAAACGAACCAUCGAGUAUCCAUUGGAGGGCAUCUGGUGCCAGCAGCUGCGGUAAUACCAGCUCCAAUAGCGUAUAUUAAAGUUGUUGCAGUUAAAAAGCUCGUAGUUGGACUUGUGUGCGCUGUCCGCGGGUGGCCUGCGCCCAAAAGGGCGUUUCGGUUCGGCCCCGGUGGCGCCUUGAAAUCUGCAGCUGGGGGGACGUUGGCCUUAACUGGUCGGCGACCGCACGCCGGCUGCUCGGUUACUGUGAAAAAUUAGAGUGUUCAAGGCAGGCAUUGGGUGCAAUUGAAUACAUUAGCAUGGAAUAAUAAAAUAUGGCUCCUGCCGUAUUUUGUUGGUUUUGACUGGUGGGAGUAAUGAUUGAUAGGGACGGUUGGGGGUGCUAGUAUUGAGCGGCCAGAGGUGAAAUUCAUGGAUUCGCUCAAGACUAACUUAUGCGAAAGCAUUCACCAAGGACGUCCUCUUUAAUCAAGAACGAAAGUUGGGGGAUCGAAGACGAUCAGAUACCGUCGUAGUCUCAACCAUAAACUAUGUCGACUUGGGAUCGGCGGUAGUUUUUUCACUAAGACACUGUCGGGACCACGGGAGAAAUCAAAGUGUCUGGACUCUGGGGGAAGUAUGGUCGCAAGGCUGAAACUUGAAGGAAUUGACGGAAGGGCACCACCAGGAGUGGAGCCUGCGGCUUAAUUUGACCCAACACGGGGAAACUUACCAGGUCCAGAGAUGUAGAGGAUUGACAGAUUGAAGCUCUUUCUUGAUCACUUCGGUGGUGGUGCAUGGCCGUUCUUAGUUGGUGGAGUGAUUUGUCUGGUUAAUUCCGUUAACGAACGAGACCUCAGCCUGCUAGUGUAGUCGGCUGGAUUGCCUUUGGCGAUCCGUGAUUUCGACUUCUUAGAGGGACAAUCGACGCGCAGUCGAUGGAAGUUUGAGGCAAUAACAGGUCUGUGAUGCCCUUAGAUGUUCUGGGCCGCACGCGCGCUACACUGCUGGGCUCAGCGAGUUUUACUUGGCCGAGAGGCCCGGUUAAUCUUGUGAAAUCCCAGCGUGCUUGGUCUCGCCUCCUGCAACUGGAGGCGCCAACGAGGAAUUCCUAGUAGACGCAGGUCAUCAACCUGCAUCGAUUACGUCCCUGCCCUUUGUACACACCGCCCGUCGUUCCAUAAGAGUGAGGCAUCCGGUGAAUUCUCGGGAGAGCCUGGCGUGGCCAGCAAUGGUCUGCUCGGGUUUGAACUUGCAUAAACUUGGUGCCUAUGAUUAGGGAAAAGUCGUAACAAGGU
rnacentral:rRNA from 1 species